rnacentral:rRNA from 1 species
AGGUUGGGGUCCAGGCGAUGACGGGUAGCCGGCCUGAGAGGGUGAUCGGCCACACUGGGACUGAGACACGGCCCAGACUCCUACGGGAGGCAGCAGUGGGGAAUUUUGCGCAAUGGGCGGAGGCCUGACGCAGCGACGCCGUGUGGGGGAGGACGGCCUUCGGGUUGUAAACCUCUUUCGGCCCUGACGAAUGUGACGGUAGGGGCUAAAGAAGCGCCGGCUAACUACGUGCCAGCAGCCGCGGUAAUACGUAGGGCGCGAGCGUUGUCCGGAUUUACUGGGCGUAAAGGGCUCGUAAGCGGUUUGUCGCGUCGGUCGUGGAAAUGUCUGGCUUAACUGGGCACGUGCGGCUGAUACGGGCAGACUCGAGGGCGGUAGGGGCAAGCGGAAUUCCUGGUGUGGCGGUGAAAUGCGCAGAUAUCAGGAGGAACACCGAUGGCGAAGGCAGCUUGCUGGGCCGUUCCUGACGCUGAGGAGCGAAAGCGUGGGUAGCGAACAGGAUUAGAUACCCUGGUAGUCCAUGCUGUAAACGUUGGGCGCUAGGUGUGGGGACCAUUCUUGGUGUCCGUGCCGUAGCUAACGCAUUAAGCGCCCCGCCUGGGGAGUACGG